UGGCGACCGGCGCACGGGUGCGUAACGCGUAUGCAACCUACCUUUAACAGGGGGAUAACACUGAGAAAUUGGUACUAAUACCCCAUAAUAUCAUAGAAGGCAUCUUUUAUGGUUGAAAAUUCCGAUGGUUAGAGAUGGGCAUGCGUUGUAUUAGCUAGUUGGGGGGGUAACGGCUCACCAAGGCGACGAUACAUAGGGGGACUGAGAGGUUAACCCCCCACACUGGUACUGAGACACGGACCAG
rnacentral:rRNA from 1 species